CUAUUAUCUAGAGCAUCUAAAACCUCAAAACUUCUUCAGUUUUGAACCAACCAAAAGUAACAAGUUGGAUAACUGAUAGAGAAAUAUGAAAGUUUGAGCAUCUUUUAACAGAUUGAAAUAUGGGAUGUAAUCAGGAGGUGUUGCGUGAUGGACAGAUUCUUGAUGGGGCAUACUACUGAAAGAAACCCGUACAACCUGUAGAUGACCCCUAUGGUACAAAUGCUGUCAUUGUUUUUGGAACUUUCUCCGUCCCAAUGGCAGACAUGUAUCCUGAAAUGACACAUUUGGAAGAGACAACAGUUGAAAUUCCUGAACCCGAGGAAGAGAAUUCUGCAUCUUAGGCUGCACCAGUAUAACAGAAUUUACAACAUGAAUUCUUUCACUCUGAGGACGCAACACUUGCACAAGGAAAUCAUCCUUUAUUAUCAAUACACUCAUCUUAAAGCUAGAUAAAAGUAGUUUGAUUUUGUAGCAUUAUUAUUUUCUGAUUAAGUGGUGCUUUUCCUUUAUCGAGCAUUCAGAUAUGUUCAUAAAAAGCAACUUUUGUAAUGUUUAUAGCAGACUACUAUGUAAGCUAAUAAUGGACAUACAUUAAUGAAAACAAAAGAGGCAAGAGGUGUGCUUUAGGCAAGAGGUGUGCUUUUUUGGACAGGAAAAGCUGGGGUUGGAAAACCAGGUAUUAUUUUACAUUGCUGUGCAUUCCCCAUUGCUCUGAGUUUCAGAGCAAUCAUCUUCCAUACAGUGAGCUGGAGGAAAUACAACCAUUAUGCAGCCAUAGCAGAAAUGGUGGAGGAAACCAAAUUAAUAAAAUAUGCUCAAAUAUCAUCAGUGAUAUCUUUGUAAAAUAUCACCUGUAACUGCAAUACCACUCAUCACACCUCACCAACAAUUCCUGAACAAUUUUUGCACAUUCAAGGGCACCUCUUGCUAGUCCAUUGCAUUUAUGUAUGGCUCUGUAUAUUGUAUAUUAUUUUGUAUAGAAUUAGCAUGUAUUUUGGCUCAGAAUUAUUAAAUUAUCCUGAUUGCAAUGUUUUUGUUAAUUAUUAUCUACUUUAUUGUAUGGAUUGAAAUGUGAAUAUGUAAGUUUGAAAGAGUAAAGUGAUUGGAUCUGCAUUUCACUUUAACAAAUGAGCCUCGGUAGUUAAUCAGUCUGGGAACCAUUUGAAUGUUUUCAUGUUCUCAAAAUGACUGCAAAAGGCAGGAUGUAGGAAGUUCGGGCUAACGACAUUCUGGUCAUUUAUGAUUAUCGAUGGUGAUGAGAUGGCAAACAGACAGUCUGAGAAACAAAUGAGCAUAAAAGUUACAGUGAAUAUAUCACCAACUGUGCUGUCACUCCCAAACUAUAUUUCAAUAUCUAAGUGUGUUUCCACUUAUGCUCAGUGACCAUGCAGCUUCAUAAAUUUGGGAGUACAGAAUUUUAAAUUAACAGCAGAAGGUGAUGACCUAAUGGUAUUAUCACUGGACUAUUAUUCCAGGGACCUGGGUUCAAAUCCCACCACAGCAGAUUGUGGAAUUUGAAUCCAUCAAAAAAUCUGGAAUUGAAAGUCUAAUGAUGACCAUGAAUCCAUUGUGGAUUGUUGGGGAAAGCCCAUCUGGUUCACCCCUAAUGUCCUUUGGGAAGGAAACCGCCAUCCUUCGGGCAGCAGGGUGGCUCAGUAGUUAGCACAGCUCCCUCACAUUACCAGGAACCUCGGUUCGAUUCCACCCUCAGUCGGCUGUCUGUGCGGAGCUUGCACAUUCUCCCUGUGUCUGCGUGGGUUUCCUCCGGGUGCUCCGGUUUCCUCCCACAGUCCAAAGAUGUGCAGGCUAGGUGGAUUGGCCAUGCUAAAUUACCUGUAGUGUUCAGGGCUAUGGGGGGAUGGGUCUGGGCGGGAUGCUCCAAAGGGUGGUGUGGACUUGUUGGGCUGAAGGGCCUGUUUCCACACUGUAGGGAAUCUAACCUCAUCUAAUCUUACCUGGCCUGGACUACAUGUGACUCCAGACCCACAGCAAUGUGGUUGACUCUCAACUACCCUCCAUUCCGGCAAUGACGGAUGGACAAUAAAUGCUGGCCCAGACAGCAUUCAUCCUCCAUGAAUGAAUAUUAAAAAAAUGUCCCUUUCUAUAAACUUCAGCUUAAACCAUGCCUGCCAAACACUUCCUUCUGUACGUGAGCUAAAGUGAACCUCUAAUCUCUUAAGUUUUAUUUAUAAGCUUUUGUAAAUCUAUUUUAAAAUAUUUAUAAAUCACCUCUGACAUAGCCACUACCUAUUUCUGUGCUUAUCUCUGUCCCAGAACAACACACAUAAUACUCCAUUCAACAUCUCUGGCUGUUUGUGCUGCUCGGUACUAACAUUUGUGGUUAUACCAUUAGCACUUUUAGUCCUAUGGUUUUCAGUUUUCAUCCUCUAAUUCCCUCUCUUCUCUUAAUAUCUUUUAAUUACAUUAGGACUUUAUUAAAACUUCUAAUCACCCUUUCUAAUCUUCCGGUUUUGACUCAGCAUUCUUCACAACUCUGUGAGGCACUGUGGAUAAUUCUACAUUUAAAGCAAUACAUAAAUGGUGACUAUUGACAUUGCCACCGCCCUAACCUUUGCCUGUAUUUUAAAAUUCAAAAAUCAGGACUUUGUUUAUAAUUCCAGUACUGUCCCUCAUUAUCCUUCAGUCAUUUUGUUUGUAAAGAAUGUUACCUUUGAGCUAUUACUGUCUGAUUUUAAACAAAAUAGUACAAUGCAUGUUGAUUAUCUUACUAUCUAAAAAUAUAA